ACGACGACUGCUACCCCGAACACUGCGAGGAGCACCUUGGCGAAGGAGACCUGUGCGGAAAAAAGAAGGGAAAAAAAGUGAGAAAGCCGCUCCAAAAGAGCUCCAGGCGAAGCUCACCCCCGACACGGCAUCGAUUAAGCAGCGCAAGACCAAUGCCAUGACUGCCGGACACGAGGAUGGAGAAUCUCCAAGUGGUGGCAUGCCCCUUCGGUUUUGGAAAGUGGACACCUCCCAGCACAGAUGUUUGGCUGAGUCGGAGCCAUGAGACGCCGCAGUUGAGUUCACCAGGAAGUUGUGACAUCCUCUGCAACCUUAACUGCCUGCUUCCUGCAUAACGGAAUAUGCUGCUUUACAGUAGAGUUCACAGUACGCUUCCUCGGAGCGCUACUGCUCAAGGAUGAAAUACAGUCAAGGACAGGUGUGUCUCCUCCAAUCACUCUCAGGGAUGUGGAUUCUCACCUUGUAGCUCCUGAUCAAAUCCCAUCACAGAUGACAGCCUUUGAGAUAGAAGUCACACAUGAUUUGUGAGCGUUUAUUUUGUUCAAGCUUAAUAAUACAGACACUUGAUGGAUAAAGAGGGAGUUUGAUAUUAUCUAGAAAGUUGAGCUGUAGAAAACAGACAUUUUCUCAUAAAUGUACUUUAUUGUUUAAAUGUAUUCCACUUCAAAUGUAUUUUAUGCUGCUCUUCGGUGUGUUGUUGCGUGCUUCAAAGCAGUUUGAGUGAAUUCUGCUUCUAUCUAAAAGUUCUUGUACAAGUUCUUGCAGAAAGUUUGUUGGUUGUUGUAGAAAUAAAAUACAGCCAUGGCAAUAGCAGAAGUCCCAACAGCACCAUCUAGCGGUGAAAGGAAGCCAUGCAGAACGGCCCAAAUCACUUUCCCGAAGUUAAAAAGCUUCACAGACAUGUUGACUGGAUCUCUAGCUUUGUAAAAGCAUUAGACGUGUUAUAUUUUACUAGACUGUGAGCAUUUGCACAGGAAAUCUCCGCCAUUAAAAGGUCAAAAACACGCGUUUAAGGCCGCAAAGGAAAGAACACGGGGAGGUCUUCAGGGUGAGUUGAAAAACUGGCAAAGUGGAGAAUCCUACUUUCAUGGCAUAUAGGAAUAGUAUAGUUCAAUUCAACAUGACAUUCAGGAGCUGGGGCGCAU